GUUUAAUAAUUUCUAGUAUCUAAAGUUUAAAUUGCUCGCACUUGAUAAAAUCAUUUUAAUAAGCUAUGUUACGAAAUCAAAAUUGAAUACGCUCUUCAUUCUUUGUUUAUACAUUAAAUGUUAUAAGCAGUAAUAAAGGCAAAUAUCGUCAUAUCAAAUAAACGUUACUCAUAACACAAAACUCACGCGAGAUAACAUUAUUAAAUUCCAUUUUAGUUUAACAAAAUAUACGAGUAUACGCCGCUCUUAACCCGGCGACAAGCCAUUGCCAGGAAAUAUGAAAAAAAAACCGCGAUUACUAUCAAGAGUAUCGAGUUCAUCCGGAAUACGAUCAAUGACGAAUCGAAUACAACGUGAAUGAAUAAAAAAAAGGAUUAAUCGAGCUGUAGAGGCAAAAAAUUACAAACGAGUUCGGAUUAAAGCCAUCCCGGAUGGGUUUUCGCGCGGGUAUCGAACCGCGAAUGUCGAGAAAUCAUUCCAACGGCCAGUGCAAACAGCGCAAAUUCAAACGCACAAAACCGAGGGUGAGCUACGGCGAACAAUAGCGUCAGCCUUGGUCCGAUAAUUAAAUUGACGCGGGCUUUUGCACACGCGGCAAGUGACAAAAUCGCUCGUUAAUUCACACAUGCCGGCACAAUCGUCCGAAUCACUCGCAAUUCUAAGCGCGAUCGAAAGUAUGCCAAUUACAUUACGAUUUCGUCAAUCGGUUCUGCUGGAAGAUCCAAUAUCUGCUUUCCUUAUUGACAUUUCGAUCGUUAUUACCCCCCGCUGCAUUGUCCGCGAGAUUAUUAACGCAUUACAAUACGGCGCUGUAAUGACAACUAAAUUUCAUGUUCCACAGAGAUCCAAGAUACGAAAAUCGUGAAUUCAUCGAACGAAGUCACUAUUGAACGAAAGUUCAAGGAUAAAAAAGGCGGAUUUACCACGACUUACAAAGCGUUACGAAAAUCUACGAAAGCCGUGACCUCAACGCAAAUUGACACGAAUUACACCGCACAAAGUAAAAUCUGGCCAACAAUACUCGCGUUCACGCGUUAAUAGAAUCGUAAUCUUUCGCUCCCGCAGCGAGAGCGACAGACUUGUGUUUAAUUCACCGCCGCACUACACGUACAUGCACACCCGGAAGACUCGAAUUAAUCUCAAUUUCAAGCAUCGCCUGAGGGAGACGAGUCGCGCGGACGGAAUGGAGAGAACGCGAUGUCGUUCUCCGCGCAGCAGAAUCGCGAUAUUCGCCGGCUCGUCUCUCGUUUUCCCGCGCAAACAUUACGAUCGUGCCAAUCUGGAAAUCAUCCGUGAUCCUACGCCAAGAUACGCCGGGCCGAUUUAACGCCCAGAAUAAUGGAAACAUUUCCUCGUGCGCAACGAACGCGGGAGUGACGUGUUACAUUUGCCGCGGAUGAUUAAAGACAGGAAUGAAGCUAGAAAAUUGCACAUCUCGGCGAUAAUAACAGCUACGUCAUAAUGGCUAUGUAAUAAUAAUGGUGAUGGUAUCGGUUUUCUGACAAAGCCCCGAUUUCUCAGCUAAUGUUAGAUGCUAAUGCUAGAUGAAGCUAAAUGAAUUAAUUUUCUCGAUCGCUAUUAUGAUAUUAAAUAAUACAAAACGAGAAAAAUGCUGAUGAAUUGAUUGCAAGAUUACCCUACUUAGAAUGUGAAUGUAUAAUGCGAGAGUCGAUCAUUCCUUUUCAAUUUCCAGUGUUUGUACAACUUAAAAAUAAAAAAUACAAUUUUCUGUGAAACAUUUAAUAUAUCCACUUCAGAAACCAAUAUCAAGCUAACUGCAAUCGAGAACACCAGAGAACAAAAUCGACAGAAAAUUAAUCUUGGACAAGAUUUUCCGAUGCCGGUGACUUUUAUAAGAAGAGGAUUCGAAGGACUCAACAAAAUAACCCCCUUAACUCGCUCACCUACAACGAUCGCGCACGAAAAAGAAGAAGAAGAAGAGGAACAGGCGGAUAGGAAGUGCUCAAGGUUAAUCGCAUCGUGGCGACGGAAAGCCAUCGCCGUGGUGGAAAGUCAAGGAGGGAUGGACGCUUAGAAGGGCCGAGGCCAUUUAUUCGAUUCACGGUAGAGCGAAUACCGACUCGCGUCUAGACGCACAAACGGCCCCUGUCUCAUCUUUCUUACUCUCCCUCAUUCUCUCUCUAUUUAUCUUCUCCGCUUCUACGCCAGGAUCGCUUCGUCCUCCGAUCGCGGAUGCGCCGCGAGGCCGCCGUUUGCCGCUGGACUGAACGUACAGGAUGUACCCGGACGCAGAAGCGUGUUCCAGAUCAUCGGGCCUGCGCGCGCUUCCGCCUCGUCAAGGCUCAAUCGGCAUUGGGUCUGGUCGGGAAUUAUUGUCCGACCUUCUCGAGGUUCGCUAUUGUCAUGCUCGACCUGAGUCCCUACCCGAAAUCAUCCGGCUACGAUUCCCUUUCGUACUGUGCAGCAGAACCUUCACGAAUUCGCAUAGAGCUUAGAUCUUUUUUUUUUUUUUUUCGUAGGCAAUCUCCUUUUUCUCGAAGGAUAAUUAAUAUAUUGAAAAGAGAUUGAAAGGAAAUUGUAGGAAACAUAAUGAAUAAACACCUGAGAAAAAGUACGUCAUUAAAUUCGCAGAAAUAAAUAUGUAGUCGAUCAAUUGCAAUUUUAGCUAUAUCACCUCACGUAUUCAUUGAAAUAAACAAUAUAAAUAUAAAUGUUACUACAAAAAUCUCAUAAUUUUACAGUUCUAUAUAAAUUAUUUCUAAAGAAUAUUAUUCAUUAAUACAUCAUGUCGUUUUUUCUUCAUUAAUUAAUAAUUUACGUAAGCAACUCUUUUUGCACCCAUACGUAUACAUUACAUUUUCCUUUGUUUUCGCAAAACGAUGGACGACGAGCAUUAUGUUUGCAAAAUUGACCCGCAGCGCCGCGCACACAAAAGCCGACCGCGACGUAAACGUCACGAUGUCUAAUUUACAGCUAUUUUUGUUCAGCCGUCAACAACCAAGCGACCAAGCAACCAACCCGCUGAGAAGAAGAGCCGAUGCGGUGGUACCCCACUUUCAAGAGGAUCGUAAAUAAGACGGACCGCGAUUCGUAACCGCCGCGCGCGGUUUCCAUGCGCCGAUAUACGGCCAAGAUAGGCACGAAGCGAAUUCUGCCUCUCUACUCGAGAAAACCUUCCCACAGGCUGUCGAACGAAGAGUCUUCCUUCUGAACUCACAAUUAUAUAAAAAAAAAUUCAUAAUUUAAAGAUAAAUACAUACAAUAAAUAAAUAAUAGAAUUAAUGGUUAUUAUUUUUUAAUUAAUUUAUAUGUAACGUUAUUGAAUAGGUACUAUCUAUCAUUUUUUUUAUAAUUUUAAUUAACUGCGUCAAGUUUGCCAUCAAAAUAUGUUAUCUUAUUUAUCUUAUUGAUAAUUAUCUAAGGUUGUUUUAUUUUUAAUUUAUAUUUUCCGAAAGAAAUAAUUUUAUUGGGAGAGAGAGAUGGAAAAGAAAAGUGACGCAAUCUCUCAACACAGUUUUACAAUAACUAUGCAAAACGUUAAUCGAUGAUAAUCCUAUGUAAAAUAAGGGAUACGUAAGGGUUAAGACGGAUGGACAUGUCUCGUGCUCCUGUCGCGUUCCCGAAGCAGCUCUGAUAGGUAACGCUGCCGCUAAAGGAUCCGCUAUUAAUGGCACGGGCUCGAGGCACGAGCCGACAUCGAGCGGAUUUCUCUAACAGGAACGAAGCACGAAGAGGGGACACAGGCAACACUAGAUGGAUGGACGAGGCAGAAGAAGAGAAAGAGGAGAAGGAAGAAGAGGAGGAGCAGAAGGGCAGCCAUCGUCGACUGGAAAAAGCUGGCGUAGCUCUACUUUGACGAAAGGCAUUUUGUUGUCGGAGUCACUCCUCCCGCCUGACGGACAGAAAAGCGAGCGAGCACGAUGCAAUUACCGGACACGACGCGAGUCGUCACUCGUGCUGGAUCGUCACGGUGAGGCUUCGCGGCUCUCGAAAGGGAUGAGCAGAAAGCCCCGAUCAGCGCUCGUUGACAUGCCUCUCUCAAAACUUAGGCACGAUAUAGAAGCACGGACGCACAUAUACAUACACAUACGCGGAAAAAAACUCGUUUACACCGGUCCUAUUAUCUGUUUUCUCUCCCUCUCUCUCUCUCUCUCUCUCUCUGCACUGAACUCGAUCCAAUUCUUAUUGAUCGAUCUCUUUCCAUAAAUGACUGAUAAGAAAAUCUGUACAAGCUUGACUGAUUAUUGAAUUUAAAAUUUUCAAAUGCUCUAAAAAUCAGAUGAUUACAAACGUAUAUGAUACUUCGAGAAGAAUAGAAACCCAAAUUGAAAUUAAUCGAUUAAAUGUGACUCUGCGUCGCACGUUAUUAUUUCAUUUAGCCAAUAGAUUGUUUGUAUCUCCGAAGCGCACAACAAAUGAUAUACCAGUGAUAUCACUAUUUAAGCUAUAAUCAACAGAAAACUGAUAUAUUUAUCUCAAUGUAUCUCAUCUAAAUCAGUUAAGUGGUUUUUGUAGUAGCACGAGAUAACAAAAAAUUUGAUUUAUACAUUAAUGACGUACAUUCCAAGAAUGUAAUGUACGUAUCUUUACCAGUCGGUCAUUAUACACACAAUAUUAUUUGCAUUUCGCGAUUUUCGCGAUAUGUGCGUGAAUUCUUUGAGUUUAUCAAAUAUGGGCACGACUGCAUGUCGGCAUUUGAGAAAAUGUGGUCGGAGUGAUGAUGCAUCCCGCAAUUUAAACUUCCACGCAGCUAAAAUAGCAGGGCGCUCUUAUACCUCCGUUCUUUGCUUCUCUGACCUGUUCGCGAGCCGUUUCGACCGCUGGCUCGAGUUUAAUCUCUUCGUGCAAUUACUGGAAUAACGCGGUGGGAAUAAUAGAUUCGACUUGGAUUUCGCGGAGUGCGCGAGGCUCGCGUCGAGAAACCGGAUAGUUUGGCUUUUAACGUAAUAUUGUGUUUCAGAAGUCUGACACGCCGAAGAUAUUGUACGGAGCGUACCGCGAAUAAUUAUAACGACUGGUAACGCGUAGAGUGGAAAAUGCAGAAGGUUCGAGCGAUAAAAUAUAUAUAACGACGGCUUUAUGUCUUGCCCGAGGUGAUUGGAACACCGACACCAUUGAAAGUUAAGCCGGGCUAGGUUUACUGCCUUGCAGAGAGCUCACACACUAACGUGAUCAUUCGUAGAAAUAUGUCCGUACGAUAACAAUCGCGAAUAUUCUAGCUUACAUAUACUGACGAAUGGAGGAAGAAACAAACGCUAAUGUUAUUAAAAAUUAUAUUCCGUGUAAUGAUCAUUGCGCAAACAUGAGAUAAAAAUGUGCGAAGAACUAAUUCCAUUGUACGGAAUCAUGAGUUAUGCGCCGCCGCGAUGACUGAUAUCGCGCUGACGUGGAUUGAAACUUAUGAUCAGCUUUCAUAACAGCGAUACCGAGUUCAAAGUUUCUAUUUAUAAAAUUAGAACUGACAUACAAUGAAAUAUAAGAAUAAGAUAUCAAGUAUCAAACGUGAUGAAUAUAGAUACCAUUCUGUAAAAAACGAUGUAUACAAAAUAGCGAUUUCUUUGUGUAUGUUUUUUCGAUAUUUUGCUUCGCGUUAUUCGCGAAAAUGAAUAGUAAGAAUCUAAUUUGUAAUUGUAAUGUUUCAUAUUUCGAAUAUGAAAACACGAUCGCCGUAAGUAAGAUAUGCCAUGAAGCUUUGCUAAUAAACGAUAAGAUAAUAGUUACAAAGAGCACCGAUCAAAAAUCACAUCCGAUUGCUACGACAGAAUAAAAUAGACUACAUUAGUAAGGUCCGCCAGAUAGUAUACAUGCAUCAAUCUGACAAUCCCGUGACUGAUAACGAAUAAAAUGUAAAUGAAUGAAUAAUGAACCAAAUACAAUUUCAAAUACGACUAUUCUGUACAACCGUCUAGCACGUUUUACAGUGCUUAAAUUGGCUCAUUAUAACGAAAUGGCAGAGCACGUUAUUUCUGAUGCAAAGUGUGGUUUAAUUUCAACCAUCUAUCCUAUGGCCUACUUAGUUUGAAAGCCCUUUGCAUGCGAUAUUAAUAAAAUAUCUUUCCUCUUUUUUUUUUUGCCUUUUACAACUCACUCUGUUUCGACCUUCGCGACCCGAUGGGGCGCACGCGCCGCGGCACAUUGUACGCUCUUCCUCGAGAUUUAUCGACUGUCAUCGUCGCGUAAGCAUAAUCAAUCAUUUACAUUGUAAUCGGACGGCACUGCGAUCGGACACCGAGGCGCCCGGCCGAUUCCCGACGUCGGCGUAUAAUUCACGAACCGCCAAGUCGUUUCAAUCUACAGCGCCACAGCGACAAUGGAAAUGUGUCGUACUCCAAAGUGCUGCCAUUUAUCCUCUAUCCGGCAAAUGCUAUUCGCGCGGCGGAACUCGCCGGCGCGAGACAGACGAGAUUACGGAGGCGGAUUGGCGCGUUACAUCGCGUUGUGUACGCGUUGCAUCAUACGAGCGUUCCGACCGAACAGGAAGAUAUCCGACGAACGGUCGUCAGGGACGGUUCUAGCCCGAAUAAUAUACGCGUCUCUUGCGCAACUACGUUUGAAACGACAAGUGAGCAUAAGAUGAAAGUAAAAUGAAUCAGAAUAAAAACAGAGUAUACGAGAAAGAAGAAAACCAAAAACUGAUAACAAAAGUGCAUGAUUGCUAAGUGGAAAAAAGAAGCAGAAAUGUGUAUUUUAUGAUAUUUUACGAUUAAAUAAACUUACACAAAUCUGUAUCAAUAUAUCAAUCUAUUUUAAAUAUAUUUUAAAAAAAAUUAUAAAUUUAUCUCUCUGUAUAUUCAUCUUUUUAUCAUUAGAGUUUAUUAAACAGAUAAAUUAAAUAUAUAUGAAUAAAAGAAAUAAAUUUUACAAUGAAAUAGAUUAAUUUUAUAUUUAUAUAAUAAAUCUUAUAUAUUAAACAAUCUUGAUUUUCGCGGGAACAACAUAUAAAGAAAAUAAAGCUUCUAAAAUAAGCAACUCAACUCGGUCGAGACCUACGAUGAUCCCGAUGUGAUAACCCACCAGCAUGUCUUUCUUGACAAGCAAGUUGUAGAAACUAUUGUUGAUCAUUUCGUUCUUGAACAUUUCGUUCUUGAGAUGACGAAAUCUAUACCCAUAUCGACGCUAAAAUGUUAUCUAUGAAGCCGAAUGUACUCGCAUAGUUACGCGAUAUCAAAAUGCGCUUAUCACAUUCGAUAACGGCAUUUAUUCUUGUCAGUUAUUAUAUUUUCUAUUCGAAUUUAAAAAGAAAUUGAAAAUAGAUAUUAUUUUACUAUUAUAAGAAAAUCAUCAAAAAUUAGAAGAAAAGUAAUUAUUUCAUCUAGAAGUCUUUAAUAAGAAGUUUUAAUUUUUUAUAUCAAAUUUCUAAUAUAAAUAAUCAAUUCAUGUUCAAUUAAUGUUUAUUAUUUUAAAAAUAGGAAAUUUUUGAUCGACACAAUUGAAUUGUCUUUAAAUAAUUACAAUAUAAAUAAAGCAUAUAAUAAAAUAUAAAAAAAAUUGCAAGGUAAAUUCAUUAACAUUACACUACAUAUCUCGCAUUACCCUCUAAUUCUCUAAUCGAAUAAUCUAUCACGUGAAAUUCUGCAGUGUCGAGAAAAAAAAUACGAAAGACGGUCAGACUUCCGCGUCUUUGAUUCGGUGAGAAAGCUGUACUAGUACGCUCUCCUCGUCCAGGGUUCAUCACACUCUCUGGGUUACCCACGGCCAGUUUUCUCGCGUGCACUCGAACAUCGUGUAUUAUCUGCGUCCUCGGUUGUAUAUACGUACAUACGAGUACCUAGACAGCGAGCAAGGUCUCACGGCCGAUGGAUUAGGUACACCGUUUGCUCGCGCUCAGCCUCGGCUCAGCAAACAUCCUCAGCAUUCUUUGAACGCGAGAAUCGUCUGUGUAUACUGCACGGGACAUGAACAGUUUAAGUAUACCGGUAGAAGUGCACGAUUGCAAUUCUUCACAAGUGACAGAUUAUCUAAAAAAAUUUUCGCGAAUUUAAUUACUCGUUGAUUCAUAAAAGAUAAUGUGAAAAUAUGUAGUAAAUAAUAAAAAAUAAAUAGAAAAAAAAGUACGGUAAUUUUGCAUGUUAGAUCUGUCUAAAAAAUUGCUAUAUGUGUGGGAUUGUAAGUUAUUAUGAGUAAAUUAUAAGUAGUUAAAAACCUUGAAAAAUCAUUAAAAGAAACAUUUAAAAUAUACUGUAGAAAAUCUUUAUCGCGUUUUAACAUCACUCGUAUUUUAUAAUUUUAGACAAAAUUUUACAUUUUCUAUUUUCAUGAUUAUUCCCGGCGUAUAAAGAACCAAGUGUAUUAAUGCCUCCCACCCACCCCCGCCCCAAAUACAGUUUUAUAUUACAAUAAUAGAUAAAAAUUUUAUUUUAAUAAAAAUCCGAGUAAAGAUUAUCUACAAAGCAUCUUCAGCUUAACAUAAGUAUUUUACAUCAUAAGUAAACGAUAAUCCUUUUUUUAAUUUUAAAUUAUUUAUUUAUUCAUUUAUUUAUGAAAAAUAAUAUGGAAAACGUCAUAUUUAAAUUUUAACUAAAGAACGGUCUUUCUCAGAAAUCGUGCAGAUGCAGCAGCAGAUGCAGAAUAAACAUUUAUUCCAAAUACAUUUCGAGCCAACUGGCAGCUAGACCUAAAUGCGGGAAAGUGGAUUGGCGCGAGCGUUUUACACGGGAAAUCCCCGAAAAUACUAGCUCUAACCGCGAUUCCCUUGCGUAAACGCAAGAAGGAAUGGUUAUCGCAGAUAUCCCGUGCGCUCCGCGCGGAAACAUUUUACACCGCGCGGACGUGCACCAGUUAAAUAAAUCGGCGUCGGAGUAUUGCGUGCCCCGAGGUCAGGACCGGUCUCGUCUGCGAGAUAGGAAAUCGAUAGAGGGUUAACGGCUAUACUUUCGUCACUUCCGAGUACGAAGCCCUUCGCCUUCUCGUCGGUAGUUAAUAAACUGACGAGCAACGAGGAAACGCGCGAGAGCCACAGUCAAAGGAUGCUUUUGAUCCGCUUUAUUGGUCAGGCAGACUAGGAAAGCAAUGAGAAAA